CCGUUCCCUUUUCCUAUGCAUAUACUUCUUUGAGGGUCCGACCUGAAGAGGUGUGGGCAUAGGAGCAGGGCGCGG
rnacentral:pre_miRNA from 1 species